AGUAAUGCAUCGGAACGUGCCCAGUAGUGGGGGAGUAACCCGGCGAAAGCCGGACUAAUACCGCAUACGACCUAUGGGUGAAAGCGGGGGACUCGCAAGGGCCUCGCGCUAUUGGAGCGGCCGAUGUCAGAUUAGCUAGUUGGUGGGGUAAAGGCCUACCAAGGCGACGAUCUGUAGCUGGUCUGAGAGGACGACCAGCCACACUGGGACUGAGACACGGCCCAG
rnacentral:rRNA from 1 species